rnacentral:rRNA from 1 species
UACAGAGGUGGCAAGCGUUGUUCGGAAUUACUGGGCGUAAAGGGCGCGUAGGCGGUUUCGUAAGUCCCGUGUGAAAGCCCCCGGCUCAACUGGGGAAUUGCACGGGAAACUGCGAGGCUUGAGUUCGGGAGAGGGAAGCGGAAUUUCCGGUGUAGCGGUGAAAUGCGUAGAUAUCGGAAGGAACAUCAGUGGCGAAAGCGGCUUCCUGGACCAGUACCGACGUUCAGGCACGAAAGCGUGGGGAGCAAACAGG